rnacentral:lncRNA from 10 species
CUGGCUGUUAUUUCCUGUGUCAAACUUCCUCUUACCCCUCAAGUUUGUACAUGAGACAGUUAGAGGGGCCGUGUCUCAGCUCUGCCACCCACGUCUCAGCCCACUCGCACUCGAUUGGACAGAAUGUUAAAGAAAACUCAGAACAUAAAUCUGGGUGGGGAGAGCUAAGAACUCUACAUUAUGUUCUGUCUCGUUUCUUUUUUUAUAGCUCAUCAUAACCUAUGCCUAUUUUUCCCUUUGAAUCUUUCAUAGAUUCCAGUCAUAGGCCAGAUUCAAGACUCAACCCCAAUUAUUGGGUAUAAGAGACACAAUAGGUAUUCAAUAAACAUCGGUUGAAUUGAAUUAAAUGGGAUUGAAAUUGGCCCCACUAAGACAUAGAUCUCUUAGGGGUUGUUUGGCUGCAAAAACCAGAAAUCUAGAUGACUAGCUAAAGCUAAACAAGAAAAUUUACUGUAAGGAUACAUGGAUUUCUUUAUGAGAAAAUGCAAAAGGAAGUGGAAACUUACCAGGAAUGAAAGAGAAUGCUGUUUAUAAUUUUUAGGGAGCAUUGAGGUCAAGGAUCUGCCUCACUAUCCUUCCACCUUUGGCUCUGCUUGCAGUGGCUCUGGUUCUAUCCAUGCUUUUACUAAGCCUGCAAAUUCUGUAAAGCAGGAAACUACAAAAACGUUACAAAAGGCUCUGUCAAAAGAUUCUUCAAGUGAUUAAGGAUAGCACACUCUGCAUAGGAAAUGAAGCCCUCGGAGAGAUUUGAAGAAGCCCUUGGAGAGAUUUGAGAUAUCCCUAACGGAGAAAGAAUUGACCUUCAUUAUCUCAGGAAGGCUUUUGACAUAAAAGAGAAAGAGAAGAAACUGAUUACUUAAAGAGGAGAGAGAGCUGUAAAGAGAACUACGAGGAUGAGCAUCAGGCUUAAAGUGGCUUAAUUUAUAAACGGAUAAUUUAAAAAUAGAAUUGGAACAUUAAGCCUUAAUAUGACCUAUACUCCUCGCAAUCCAGAAGUGAAGAAAUGUGGACAUGAGAGGGGCACAGAGGAAGACUACCUGAAGACACACAGAGAGAAGGUGACCACGUGGUUGGAGUGGAGCAUCUACAAACCAACACACAUACCAAGGAUUGCUGGCAAGUAUCACCAGAAGCUAGAAGAGGCAAGAAAGGAUUCUCCCCAAAGCUGUCAGCAAAAACACAGCACUGAUGGUACCUUGAUUUCAGACUUUUAGCCCCGAAACUGUGAGAGAGUAAAUUUCUGUUGUUUUAGGUGACCUGUUUUUUGGAAUUUGUUAUGUCAACUGUAGGAAAUGGAUAUUGUACAACGAUUGGGGCAUGACUUUGCAAUGGUUUACCUGCUCUCAGAUGAAAAUUUUUUUUUUUUGUUUUUUUUUUAGAUGGAGUCUUGCUCUGUUGCCCAGGCCAGAGUGUAGUGGUGCCAUCUUGGCUCACUGCAACCUCUACCUCCCGGGUUCAAGCGAUUCUCCUGCCUCAGCCUCCCGAGUAGCUGGGACCACAGCACACCACCAGGCCUGGUGAAUUUUUGUAUUUUUAGUAGAGAAAGGGUUUCACCAUGUUGGCCAGGCUGGUCUCAAACUCCUGACCUCAAGUGAUCUGCUCGCCUCAGCUUCCCAAAGUGCUGGGAUUACAGGUGUGGGCCACCACACCCUGUCUCAGAUGAAAGGUUAAUAUAAUUAAGGAACAUCUUUUUUGUUUUUUUUUUCAGAAAUUGGAAUGGGGGAGUAGCUGAACAGAAAAGUCCAUCUUGUUCAAUUCCCACAAGAACAUUUCUUUGCAAUAUUAUUGGCAGGAAUAUGCAGUAAAGUUCUAAUAACUAUUUACUCCUUUCUUUGAAACUCUAUUCAGUUAUAAUGUGUCCUGUAAAAAGUAUGACACUGAUUUCAUAGUACCAAUUUUAGCCUAAUACAUAUUUAAAUGAUUCCCAAUGUAUAAAGAUAUUUUAGUAAUAAGAAAUUAUUUAAGGAUCCCAAACAUCACAAUAAACAUAAAGCCUAGUUUUAGGUUGCAAAAAAGUAUCAAACUUUAUAAGUUUUAGUGCAAAUUAAGAGAAAUUACAUUCUAACUACACUAAUAACUGAAAACUUCAUAUUAGGCAAAUAAUGUCUUCAACUACUCAAAUUAUAGGAGCCCACUUCAAGAACCUCAGUAAGAAGAAAUUUUGAAUGGUUUAAAAAUAAUAAAUGCCAUGACAUUUUAAAUGGAAAUUUGGCAUAUUUUUGAGAUAAAUAUGAUUGGAUACAUGUGUGUGCCAUUCUUUUAUCUCUUCUUACUUUUACUGUAUCUCUACUUUAAUGAUGACAAUAAUAUGGCUACAGACAUGAAAUGGUUUAUCUUUCUUCUUUUCUUUCACUCUUUCAUUUAAAGCAUUUAUAUUAUUUUUUAUUGAUGUCAAUGUUAACAUUUUGGCAUCCUUCCCAAGUAUAUUGCAAGAAAUACAUCAAUAAAAACUUAAAUUUAAAAAAUAUGUAGUCUGGGGCCAGAUAAUAAUGGCAUAUUUCUUUAAAAUUAGGUAUAAAGGAGUACAGACGAGGUCAAAAUUCUAAAAUUGGAAUCUUGCCAUUAACAAACAGAACUGACAUUCUGAUACUUCUAUCUGCUGUGGACGUGACACAGAGACUUACCAAAGCCAAGAUACAUUUAUUCAAGGAGGAGCAACUUGCCUUUAUACUUAUACCUUUGUUAAUAACUUGUUUAAAGCAAUCCUUUGUUUUCUUUGCAUAUUUGAAUUGAUUUGCUAAAAGUUAUCUACUGUUAAAUAAGCAAAACUCAAAAUUUUCAAGCAUAUGGGACUUGUUCAGAAUCAGUUUUUAGUUUCUUUUUCAGGAUUUUGUACAAGUUGCAAGAGAAGAGACACAAAAUUAUCUUAUUAAUUCUAUUGCAAUAUGGAGAUACAUUUUAAACAAAUGGAAAUAAUCAAUAUUAGUAUUAUCUGUAUAUUUGUGUGUGUGUGUGUUGAUCUGACUAUAUUUUUCUUCAAAGGGAAAUCACAAAGGCCAAGUGUGUUUAUCAGGUAACUCACCUUAAGAAAACUUGUACUAUGUGAAAAGUCAAUUUCUUUAAAAACUGUCACCAACUCAACCCUGGUUUGUAAGUAGAAAAAACUAUCAAUUAUUUUUUAACAAUAGUAAUACUCCCAAGGUAUAUACUUCUGCCACAAAAAAUUAAGAAUAGUUUACUUAGCACGUUUUGUCAUUGUGGAAAUCAUUGAGAAAAAUCACAGUGGAAAGUUAUUUGAAAAGGCAUAACUGUCAUUAGAAAGAAAUUAAGAAUAAAGAAGGCAGGCCUGGCGUGGUGGCUCAUGCCUGUAAUCCCAGCACUUUGGGAGGCUGAGGUGGGUGGAUCUCCUGAGGUCGGGAGUUCAAGACCAGCCUGACUAACAUGGAGAAACCCCAUCUCUACUAAAAAUACAAAAUUAGCCGGGGUGGUGGCACAUGCCUGUAAUCCCAGCUACUCGGGAGGCUGAGGCAGGAGAAUUGCUUGAACCCAGGAGAUGGAGGUUGCGGUGAGCUGAGAUGGUGCCAUUGCACUCCAGCCUGGGCAAAAAGAGUGAAACUCCACCUAAAAAAAAAAUAAAAAUAAUAAAAAAAUAAAGCAGUAAAAACAAAAUGUUUGCAUGUGUCAUUAUCUUUGUAUUGGUCGUCUAUUUUGUAAACUUUCAUCAUUACUUUAAGCAUUUCAGGCCACUUCUUCAGUCAUUAUUGUUGAUUAUCAUUUAGUCCUCCAAUUCCAUCAGAGUGUGCUAAGGUAGUAAAAUGAAAUUAGGCACAAUGCAUGGCAGAAGGUAUAGCAAUUUGAAAUGUCUUCCAAAAUCAAUUAGAUAUUACUUUGGGUUAGCAGUGGAGGUGGGAACAUAGUUACAGGUAAUUGAGAAUUGGCUGUGAAUAUGGGCUCAUACAUUGUGUUUUUGAACAUGUUGAUAUAAUUCUGUGAAAUGAGAGAAAUGGCCUCAAAUCACCUGGCUGCUUCUGCUUUAUUUUAUGGUUAGAUAUUCAACUGCCAUCACAGACUACAAUAGAGGAAAGCUGCUAUUAUUUAUCAAAGACUAGACCUGCUAGCUGAAGUGCAGUUCACCAUUCACUUGGGUGGUGGUAUGGCUCACCUCCAAAACACUGCUCAUGAGUUGACCUUAUUAUUUUUAUCUGCAUGUCUUGACCUAUAGCGGGCUUAAAAUGUCAUUAUCAACCUAAUGGAAAUACAGAUUUUUCAUUUUUUUCCCUUUCUCUGCCUUCUCUUUUUUCUUUUCUUUUCUUUUUU